rnacentral:lncRNA from 1 species
AUGACAUGUGGUGGAUGGUCCGUUCUGAUAAGCGCUGGGCGUGAUGGAUGGAUUCCCCUCACCAGGGCAGGACGAGCGCAGGAGCUUUGCACUGGGCAUCUUCUGGGGCUGAGCCAGCCCCGCCCCCACAUCAAGACCACCUCUCCUCACGAUCACUAUUUAUUCUUUGUUCCUUUUUCUUUUUGUAAGAAACAGUCACAAAAACCAGUGCAAAACCAUCAGUGUGGGUGUCCUGUUUUAUAUUACAAAAACUCCUUCUUGAUAGAUAAUAUAAAAGGGGAGAGGUGGGAGGAGGUUCAAACCGAAUCUUUGCAGCAGGCACAGAGCUCUGGCUGCAUCUCAGAAGGGGGAAGGUGGCAGAGCAGGGGAGCACUGGGCUCUAAGCUGCUGCUCUGCCUCCCAGUGGCUGGAAAGCUGGAGGGGAGGCUGGAAGCUGGCAGAGGGUUCCUCCCAGACUCUGAAGAAGGACAAUGUAAAGAGAAGAGCAGGUACCAUACUGAUCUCCCAGCCCACGCCUAG